rnacentral:rRNA from 1 species
CAGUCGCCACGGGAAUACGUAGGUGGCAAGCGUUGUCCGGAAUUAUUGGGCGUAAAGGGCUCGCAGGCGGUUUCUUAAGUCUGAUGUGAAAGCCCCCGGCUCAACCGGGGAGGGUCAUUGGAAACUGGGAAACUUGAGUGCAGAAGAGGAGAGUGGAAUUCCACGUGUAGCGGUGAAAUGCGUAGAGAUGUGGAGGAACACCAGUGGCGAAGGCGACUCUCUGGUCUGUAACUGACGCUGAGGAGCGAAAGCGUGGGGAGCGAACAGGAUUAGAUACCCCGGUAGUCCCUGUCUCUUAUAA